GUGACAGCCCCGUACACAAAAAUGCACAUGCUGUGAGCUCGAUGAGUAGGGCGGGACACGUGGUAUCCUGUCUGAAUAUGGGGGGACCAUCCUCCAAGGCUAAAUACUCCUGACUGACCGAUAGUGAACCAGUACCGUGAGGGAAAGGCGAAAAGAACCCCGGCGAGGGGAGUGAAAAAGAACCUGAAACCGUGUACGUACAAGCAGUGGGAGCACAGAGCAAUCUGUGUGACUGCGUACCUUUUGUAUAAUGGGUCAGCGACUUAUAUUCUGUAGCAAGGUUAACCGAAUAGGGGAGCCGAAGGGAAACCGAGUCUUAACUGGGCGUUAAGUUGCAGGGUAUAGACCCGAAACCCGGUGAUCUAGCCAUGGGCAGGUUGAAGGUUGGGUAACACUAACUGGAGGACCGAACCGACUAAUGUUGAAAAAUUAGCGGAUGACUUGUGGCUGGGGGUGAAAGGCCAAUCAAACCGGGAGAUAGCUGGUUCUCCCCGAAAGCUAUUUAGGUAGCGCCUCGUGAAUUCAUCUCCGGGGGUAGAGCACUG
rnacentral:rRNA from 1 species